UUCACAAACUUUCUCUGGAUAGAGCAAAAACAUGAAUUAUCUUUUAAAAUUAUUUUUAUUUUGCAUACACUAAUCCAAAGCAGCAGAUGAACGGCAAAGGCAGGCACUUCAGGCAAGAUGGAUGGAAAGGAAAACAUUUCUAAUGUUCACAUCGCAGUGAAAAAACAAAAUGGCGGGAAGAGAGUUUUAAACGUCCCGAUCCUUCAGAGGAGAAAUGAAGCGAUCCUACACAAGCAAACAAAUGUGUUGAUAUAGUAAUAUAGUUUAGAACAAAGUUUUAUCAAACAUUACAAAAACAAAAUUGAAAUAAAGGAGGAACUUCUUGAACUUAAAUGUUGAAAGAUCAACAUCCUCCCAGGAUAAACGGUCAAACUGGAGACCAAAAGAAAAGAAAUAAAAUAACCUCAGAGCAAAACAUGAAAAAGAUCAUCAUCAUCAUCAUCAUCAUCAUCACAGCCCAUCUGCCUUAUUUUUUAUUUUAUUCUCAUAGAUCUGAUACUCAGGAAUCGCUUCUCCAGUCAAGGUGAUUCAUUUUUUCCCGUUUUCUCCUAAAACUUUAUAGUUUAAAAUCUAUAUUUAUCUUUGGGAUUCAGGGAAAUCCUGUUUACUGGUUUCAUCUUUAAACCUGGCAGCUUUCUGCAGCUGUGAAAUACUUUUUACAAUAUUUUAAUCCUCAGCAGACGCUUCAGUCUGGGGGAUUUUCCUUAUUUUGAGGUCAAUCAGUUUCAUCAAGAUUGUUUUAUAUUCUGAAGCAGAUAAAACUGACUUCAUGUGCUAAUUCAGGAAUCCUCAGGAAUAAACCGACAAAUCGGCACAGAUUUUCUGAGUCUGCCGAUACAUGACAAAUCAAUUUGAUCCACCGACAUUUUACCUCAGCACAGGUCUGGAAAUCAGCCGCCGUCGCCUUUAGCUCUGCUGACACCAGGUCACGUCUGCAUGCCGCUGUUAACAGUCACCACACUGCUGCCAACUUAGCAACUAUGUUGAUAUAUUUAGAAAACAAAAUCGAUAUCAGCCAAAAUCGGAAUCUGCAACUCAGACUUUUCAAAAUCGUUCGUUUACUCCUGCUGAAUAUUAACUGGAGCGUCUGAAAAGUUACUCAUAAUGUAAGAGGCAUAAAUGCAUAAGGUAUGAAAUCAUGUGUCGUAUUUUCACUGCGUUUCCUUUCAGGAUCAGAGGAAACAUCCCAGACGGACGGAGAACCAACUUCAGAUCAGAUCCACAGCUGAUCAGUGACCCCUGAUCUGAAAAAAUACAAUUAAUGGAGCUUUUAUGUCUGAUCUGCUUUACUGUUGGCUCAUUUACAUCUGGGUCCAUAAUUUCUGCUGACUCAUCGUGUCUGAUCCACUCACUGACAGAAACAGUGAAACACCCAAAGAACCGGUUUCAUGCCAUCUGGUACCAGAACUGAGCUUUUGGAGUCUUUUAUUAACAGGUUUGGGAAUUCAUUCAGUGGAAUAAACUGACUAAAAACAAAUGGAAAACCUUUUUGCUCAUUAGCUGCUAAAUAAAAAGAUGUUUCGUCUCUGCAGUGGAUGGUAGAUGAAUAUUCCCUCUGAGCUCAUGGCUGAACUUUAUGGUUAGAAAUGAUAAACAUACAGGAAAGGUGAGGGAAUAACUGCAGCUGAUAUAAAUAAA